rnacentral:rRNA from 1 species
GUGAGGAAUAUUGGUCAAUGGCCGCAGGGCUGAACCAGCCAAGUCGCGUGAGGGAUGACGGUCCUAUGGAUUGUAAACCUCUUUUGUCAGGGAGCAAAGGGCGCCACGUGUGGCGCUUUGCGAGUACCUGAAGAAAAAGCAUCGGCUAACUCCGUGCCAGCAGCCGCGGUAAUACGGAGGAUGCGAGCGUUAUCCGGAUUUAUUGGGUUUAAAGGGUGCGCAGGCGGAAUGUCAAGUCAGCGGUAAAAUUUCGGGGCUCAACCCCGUCGUGCCGUUGAAACUGGCGUUCUUGAGUGAGCGAGAAGUAUGCGGAAUGCGUGGUGUAGCGGUGAAAUGCAUAGAUAUCACGCAGAACUCCGAUUGCGAAGGCAGCAUACCGGCGCUCAACUGACGCUCAUGCACGAAAGCGUGGGUAUCGAACAGGAUUAGAAACCCCAGUAGUCC